UACAGAGGGGGCAAGCGUUGCUCGGAAUUACUGGGCGUAAAGGGCGCGUAGGCGGGAUGGCAAGUCGGUCGUGAAAUCCCUCGGCUCAACCGAGGAACGUCGAUCGAUACUGCUGUUCUUGAGGAUUGCAGAGGAGACUGGAAUUCCCGGUGUAGCGGUGAAAUGUGUAGAGAUCGGGAGGAACACCGGUGGCGAAGGCGGGUCUCUGGGCAAUUCCUGACGCUGAGGCGCGAAAGCGUGGGGAGCGAACGGG
rnacentral:rRNA from 1 species